GAUCCUGGCUCAGGAUGAACGCUGGCGGCGUGCCUAACACAUGCAAGUCGAACGAAGCACUUAUCUUUGAUUCUUCGGAUGAAGAGGUUUGUGACUGAGUGGCGGACGGGUGAGUAACGCGUGGGUAACCUGCCUCAUACAGGGGGAUAACAGUUAGAAAUGACUGCUAAUACCGCAUAAGACCACAGAGCUGCAUGGCUCGGUGGGAAAAACUCCGGUGGUAUGAGAUGACCCG
rnacentral:rRNA from 1 species